GAGAGAAAGAAAAAGAUAAAAACAAGAAAUUUCACGUUGUUGCGCUUUUUUAUCUUCAGCUCGUUCUUUUUUUUGCCUCUUUGUCCCCCCUUUUUUGAAUAAU
rnacentral:ribozyme from 1 species